ensembl:lncRNA
GGAGGGAAGGCUAAUCAACGCCGUAGCAAACAACCCGGAGCUGUACGACACCAGCUGCUUUGUGUAACGACAGGAAUAUAAAGGACCGAGCUUGGAGGAAGAAAUGUGAAGAGAUCGGGCAACCUGAACCAACUGAUUCUGCAGCAGAGCAUCCCCUGUUGCUUCUCCUUGCUCCCCAGUCCCUGAGCUCCUGCUGCUGCACCCACAGGCCCAGAGAGGAGGACAGCUCCGAGGCAGAUGAGGGACUGGUCCCAGGACGGUCCAUCGGUGGUGGAGCUGGCCAUCCUGGUGUCCCUGAAGAGGCCACGCCAGUCUCCAAUGGCGCAUUUCCUCCUCAGGAGAGCAGCUGGGUCCUUUUUAUUCCUG